rnacentral:lncRNA from 1 species
UCGAGUUGCAUGACAUCUUCAAUAAGCAACUUGGUAUUCAAGAAGGAAGAUCCUUCUUCUUUUAUUGCCUUUUUUGACAUGUGUGCCAAUUCCUUUGCUCUUUUUCUUCUUUCUUCACUCUCUAAUCCUUUAUCCAUUAGUUGAUCUAUUGCUUCUUUCACUUGAUCCUUAUUAACCAACACACCAUUCUUCUCUUCAUUCCAAGAAUUAAUACUCACUUCAACCCCAACUCGAACCCCAAUCUUCAAAACAUUUACAAUGAAUUUCUCAUUGUAAAAUUGCUCGGCAAACAUAGGAAAAGUAAUCAUUGGUACGCCACAAGAAGUUCCUUCCAGAGUCGAAUUCCAUCCACAAUGCGUUAAGAAUCCUCCAAUAGAUGAAUGAGAUAAUAUUAAAACUUGUGGGGCCCAACCUCGAAUUAUCAUUCCUCUUCCUUUAACCCUUUUUUCAAAAUUUUCAUCCCUUAGCCAUUUUUCAACUUGUGAUGUCAAAUUUACCUUUCUAAUUAUCCAAAUGAAAGGCACAUUUGAUGACUCCAACCCUAAUCCAAUUUCCUUCAUUUGCAAAAAUGAAAUUUGACAAAGGCUACCAAAACAAGCAUAAAUGACCGAUUUAGGCUUCAUAGAAUCAAGCCAACUCAAACAAUUGUGUUCAUCUAUAGAGGUCUUGUUUCCUCUAUCAACCAUUUCAUCCAUUUCAUUGUUACCCAAUGAUACUGGACCAAUACAAAAGACUUUGUUCAUUAUUUUUUUGUAUUCAUCAAUAUACCAAGGCUCCAACUCUUCAAAAGUAUUAAUCAAAGUACCUCUUGCCAAGUCUUGAGACUGUUUAAUUUUGUCAAUAAUACUCUUCAUAUCUUGAGAUUUAUUUGUUGAAGUGCCAUUCAACAAUAUUUGACCUUUUGUGAACUCAAUCUUGUGUGGCACAUUAGGUAUCAAGAAUGAAUCUGAAUCCAACACAAGGGUUUCUUGUAUUUUUUCUUGAUUUAUUAUGUGAGAACAAAAGAGAGUGAAACAAGAAACAGUUUGAAAUACAUACCUUGGAAUCUUGAAUUUAUUGGCAACUUGUUGUGUCCAAAUAAGAGGACUAGUUGAAAUAAUACAACUUGGUUUUGGUUCCAAGUCAUGAAUCAAUUUCUCUAGUGGUUCUUGCAUCAUCUCACUAGCCAAAAGGAACUCUUUUAAUAACUCUAGUGAACUUAGUGUAUCUAAAUUUUCACAUUCUUGAGGCAACCCAACUUCUUGAUUUGGGAAAUGAAGAGGAAUUAAUUGGAUUUUUAGAUUGGAUUUUAUAGCAUGAGUUACUAUAGAUUUGUACCUUUGGGCAUUGAGAGGUGUGGUGAUAAUAGAGACAGUCACUCCAUGUAGGGCUAGUAAUUUUGCAAAGUCUGUUAAUGGUAUAAUAUGGCUUUGAGACAUUAAAGGUAUCAAAAGGAAAUGAAGUUGUUUAGAUAGGGAAGCCAUUUUUGGAAAAGCUUUAGUUUGGUUCUGUGUAAAG